rnacentral:rRNA from 1 species
AGAAUCAACGCUGGCGGCGUGCCUAACACAUGCAAGUCGAACGCGAAAGUCCCGCAAGGGAUGAGUAGAGUGGCAAACGGGUGAGUAACACGUGGGUGACUUGCCUUCGAGUGGGGGAUAACGUCCCGAAAGGGACGCUAAUACCGCAUAACAUCCUGCUUUUUAAGAGGUGGAGAGCAAAGCCGGGGAUCGCAAGACCUGGCGCUUGAAGAGGGGCCCGCGUCCGAUUAGCUAGUUGGUGGGGUAAUGGCUCACCAAGGCGACGAUCGGUA